AGCUACUCUACUCACCACUUUGCUGAAAAUAUUCCUUCUUAUCUGAUGACUCAGCUUAGUUGGAUUUCUUUUCUUUUCUGAAGCUUGUGUGCUUCCCUUCUAUGAAAACUACCUGAAGCCUACGUGCUUUAGCAUUCCCUUAGAAACCCCAAGUAGCAACACCUCUGCCUGUAAUUUCAAGCUUUGUAGCAGGGGAUUUAUGGAGUCAUCUGAAGAUCCUGUCCACCAGUCUCAUGUCACAUUGAGCGACCUCUAUCGUUAUUGCUUCCACUCGCAUUAUUGGUUUUGUACUUGUAUUUGUAUUAUGUACCUUCUGUAUGGUUUCCCGAACUUGUGGUGAUCUUUAUUUCGGUUAUGAACUUGUUGUAUCAAGUCGGGUUGACUCACGUUAGUUGUAUUGUUUUUAUGUUUUGCUUA